CAUAGGUUAAUGAGGCGAACCGGGGGAACUGAAACAUCUAAGUACCCCGAGGAAAAGAAAUCAACCGAGAUUCCCCCAGUAGCGGCGAGCGAACGGGGAGCAGCCCAGAGCCUGAAUCAGUGUGUGUGUUAGUGGAAGCGUCUGGAAAGGCGCGCGAUACAGGGUGACAGCCCCGUACACAAAAAUGCACAUGCUGUGAGCUCGAUGAGUAGGGCGGGACACGUGGUAUCCUGUCUGAAUAUGGGGGGACCAUCCUCCAAGGCUAAAUACUCCUGACUGACCGAUAGUGAACCAGUACCGUGAGGGAAAGGCGAAAAGAACCCCGGCGAGGGGAGUGAAAAAGAACCUGAAACCGUGUACGUACAAGCAGUGGGAGCACGCUUCGGCGUGUGACUGCGUACCUUUUGUAUAAUGGGUCAGCGACUUAUAUUCUGUAGCAAGGUUAACCGAAUAGGGGAGCCGAAGGGAAACCGAGUCUUAACUGGGCGUUAAGUUGCAGGGUAUAGACCCGAAACCCGGUGAUCUAGCCAUGGGCAGGUUGAAGGUUGGGUAACACUAACUGGAGGACCGAACCGACUAAUGUUGAAAAAUUAGCGGAUGACUUGUGGCUGGGGGUGAAAGGCCAAUCAAACCGGGAGAUAGCUGGUUCUCCCCGAAAGCUAUUUAGGUAGCGCCUCGUGAAUUCAUCUCCGGGGGUAGAGCACUGUUUCGGCAAGGGGGUCAUCCCGACUUACCAACCCGAUGCAAACUGCGAAUACCGGAGAAUGUUAUCACGGGAGACACACGGCGGGUGCUAACGUCCGUCGUGAAGAGGGAAACAACCCAGACCGCCAGCUAAGGUCCCAAAGUCAUGGUUAAGUGGGAAACGAUGUGGGAAGGCCCAGACAGCCAGGAUGUUGGCUUAGAAGCAGCCAUCAUUUAAAGAAAGCGUAAUAGCUCACUGGUCGAGUCGGCCUGCGCGGAAGAUGUAACGGGGCUAAACCAUGCACCGAAGCUGCGGCAGCGACACUGUGUGUUGUUGGGUAGGGGAGCGUUCUGUAAGCCUGUGAAGGUGUACUGUGAGG
rnacentral:rRNA from 1 species